rnacentral:rRNA from 1 species
UACGAGAGCCCCAAGCGUUAUCCGGAAUUAUUGGGCGUAAAGGGUGCGUAGGCGGUUGUGUUAGUCAUGUGUUAAAGGCCCGAGCUUAACUUGGGACAUGCACGCGAAACGGCACGACUUAGAGAGGAGGAGAGGUGUGCGGAACUCAUGGUGUAGGGGUGAAAUCCGUUGAUAUCAUGGGGAACACCAAAUGCGAAAGCCAGCACACUGGCCUCUUUCUGACGCUGAGGCACGAAAGCGUGGGUAGCGAACUGGGAAUUGAGAUACCGGGGUAGGUCCAGACCAAUAUCCUCCUGCUACCGAGAUCAGCCUGUACCGUGACCCCAUCGAUCAAAUGAAGCCAGAGAGCC